UUCGUAGGCGGUGCGGCAAGUUGGGAGUGAAAUCUCUGGGCUUAACCCAGAGGCUGCUUCCAAAACUGCUGUGCUCGAGUGUGAGAGAGGCGCGUGGAAUUGCAGGUGUAGCGGUGAAAUGCGUAGAUAUCUGCAGGAACACCCGUGGCGAAAGCGGCGCGCUGGAUCACUACUGACGCUGAGGAACGAAAGCGUGGGGAGCAAACA
rnacentral:rRNA from 1 species